UAGUAACGGCGAGUGAAGCGGCAACAGCUCAAAUUUGAAAUCUGGCGCAAGCCCGAGUUGUAAUUUGUAGAGGAUGCUUCUGGGCAGCGGCCGGUCUAAGUUCCUUGGAACAGGACGUCAUAGAGGGUGAGAAUCCCGUAUGCGACCGGUUGGCACCCGUCACGUAGCUCCUUCGACGAGUCGAGUUGUUUGGGAAUGCAGCUCUAAAUGGGAGGUAAAUGCCUUCUAAAGCUAAAUACCGGCCAGAGACCGAUAGCGCACAAGUAGAGUGAUCGAAAGAUGAAAAGCACUUUGGAAAGAGAGUUAAAAAGCACGUGAAAUUGUUGAAAGGGAAGCGCAUGCAACCAGACUUGUCGGCGGUGUUCCGCCGGUCUUUUGACCGGUCUACUCGCCGCCGGCAGGCCAGCAUCAUCUGGGAGCGUCGGAUAAAGGCGCGGGGAAUGUGGCUCCUCGGAGUGUUAUAGCCCCGCGUGCAAUACGGCGUCUUCCGGGUGAGGUCCGCGCUUCGGCUAGGAUGCUGGCGUAAUGGUUGUUUGCGGCCCGUCUUGAAACACGGACCAAGGAGUCUAACAUCUAUGCGAGUGUUCGGGUGUCAAACCCCUACGCGGAAUGAAAGUAAACGGAGGUGGGAACUUCGGUGCACCAUCGACCGAUCCUGAUGUCCUCGGAUGGAUUUGAGUAAGAGCAUAGCUGUUGGGACCCGAAAGAUGGUGAACUAUGCCUGAAUAGGG
rnacentral:rRNA from 1 species